AGGACGUUGAUAGGCUGGGUGUGGAAGCGCAGUAAUGCGUUAAGCUAACCAGUACUAAUUGCUCGUGAGGCUUGACCCU
rnacentral:rRNA from 1 species